AACGAACGCUGGCGGCAUGCCUAACACAUGCAAGUCGAACGAGACCUUCGGGUCUAGUGGCGCACGGGUGCGUAACGCGUGGGAACCUGCCCUUAGGUUCGGAAUAACUCCCCGAAAGGGGUGCUAAUACCGGAUAAUGUCGUCGGACCAAAGAUUUAUCGCCUUGGGAUGGGCCCGCGUUGGAUUAGCUAGUUGGUAGGGUAAAAGCCUACCAAGGCGACGAUCCAUAGCUGGUCUGAGAGGAUGAUCAGCCACACUGGGACUGAGACACGGCCCAGACUCCUACGGGAGGCAGCAGUGGGGAAUAUUGGACAAUGGGCGAAAGCCUGAUCCAGCAAUGCCGCGUGAGUGAUGAAGGCCUUAGGGUUGUAAAGCUCUUUUACCCGGGAUGAUAAUGACAGUACCGGGAGAAUAAGCUCCGGCUAACUCCGUG
rnacentral:rRNA from 1 species